UACGUAGGGGGCGAGCGUUUGUCCGGAUUUACUGGGCGUAAAGAGCGCGUAGGCGGUCCGAUAAGUCGGCUGUGAAAGUCAGGGGCUCAACCCUUGGAAGCCGGCCGAUACUGUCGGACUAGAGUCCGGAAGAGGCGAGUGGAAUUCCCGGUGUAGCGGUGAAAUGCGCAGAUAUCAGGAAGAACACCCGUGGCGAAGGCGGCUCUCUGGGACGGUACUGACGCUGAGACGCGAAAGCGUGGGGAGCGAACAGG
rnacentral:rRNA from 1 species